CAUUCCCCAGCCCUGGAAACGAGCAGGAUCCGCUGCAAAUGGAAAUAACUGGUGUGGUCUGGACCCCAGAGCACCCAGAAUGGGCUGGAGGGAUGCUGAGCUCGGAAACAACCGGGGGACAGGAGGGGAAAAUCAAGGGGGUGCGGGUGAGGAAAGGGAUUUACAGAGCUUCCAGGGGUAUCAAGGCUUAAAUUCCUGCUGCUGCCUGGCUAAAUCCUCCACCCUGCCGGACCCUGCUGCUCCUGCCCUGUCGGGAGAGCAGCUGGUGGCUGUGCAGGGAAGGUCCUGCCUGGCUGUGGAUGCUGUCCCCACAGACACCCCUCGGCCUGGGAGAUGGAUGGGGUGAAGGAGCACGAUCUCUCCCCAGCUCCUAAGCGGGGAACUCUCACUUUCCGCCGAGACAAUUACGGAACCCUCGCCGAGAGCCUCUUGAAGGAAUGGCAGCCUCUGCUCCAGCUCUGAUUGCAGACGGGGGAAGUUGCUUUUCCAAGGGUCUGGCUGAUUAGGAAUCGAGCUCCAUCUCCCUGUUACCUGCAGAUGGGAUUUUUGUCUGUAUUAAACUAACAGUUUAAAGCCUCUUAA